AACGAACGCUGGCGGCGUGCCUAACACAUGCAAGUCGAACGAGAAAAUCGUAGCAAUACGGUGAGUAAAGUGGCGCACGGGUCAUUAACACGUGGAUAAUCUUCCUUCGGGCGAGGGACAACCUGUCGAAAGACGGGCUAAUACCUCAUAAGACCACGGGAUCUUCGGGUCCUGGGGUCAAAGGUGGCCUCUACUUGUAAGCUAUCACCUGAAGAUGAGUCCGCGCACCAUUAGCAGUUGGUAAGGUAACGGCUUACCAAGGCCAAGAUGGUUAGCUGGUCUGAGAGGACGACCAGCGACACUGGAACUGAGACACGGUCCAGACUCCUACGGGAGGCAGCAGUGGGGAAUCUUGCGCAAUGGGCGAAAGCCUGACGCAGCGACGCCGCGUGAGGGAUGACGGCCUCGGUU
rnacentral:rRNA from 1 species